AUAAGCUCACAAAGAAGGUUCAUGCCCAAAAUUAGGUCUUUUUUUGCCAGCAACAAAAAGCGUUUGGGCCUGGCACAAGGCCCAGCGUGGAGUUGAUGAACCGGACGGGGUGCACGGUCUAUGCUGGUGGUGCAUAGACCAAUCAAUUGAUUUGGGCCUAAGGCCCAAACGGGAUCAAUGCAAAAAACUGGCCCUAGAAUGGAGUGUACGUAACGGACUCGAACCAAAAGAGCUUAUCUCAUAAGCUGCAGCCAAACUGAAAAGGCUUCUCCAACAAGCUCCCAGCUUCAACAACAAUGGUGUUCAACGAUUCUUCGCUUCGGUAUCAUGGAUGUUGAUUUGGAUUCUUCGUAUCGGUAUCAUCUUCAAGGAUGCGUCCUCUCCGCAUCUCAGAGUUCAUGGAUUGUAUCAUGGAUUUGUAUUUGGAACGUUUGAGUCGGAGCAAGGAGAAGGAAGAAGACUUACCGGAUUUUUGAGCUCCGAAACGGUGGCUCUGUGGAGAUGCACAAGUGUCUAUAUGAAUGAUGUUGAUGUCAAGUAUGUGAAUCAUCUAGCUUAGUGUAUAUAUAAGAAAGGAAUGACGUUGAAUGGUGUGUAAGACGUGGCGGAAGGUAAUGGCAUGAGUCAUGAAUAUUGAAGAUUUUGUAACACAACACGUUCGUACGUUGUCACUAUGUCAAAGUUUAUCAAAUACGUGACACAUGUAAGGCAUUACUUUGAUGUUGGUGAAUUGAAACGAGACAAGAACAGUGUGAACAUAAGGGAUUUGUACCAUGAAUCUUCUACUAAUUAAAACUACAGAAUCUUUUUU